GAUUCGUCGGAUUCGUCGCGUCAUCACUGAACAACCGGAUAGAACUUGACUGAAUGCAUGGAUGGCAACAUCUAACCCUACUCAAGUAAAUUUAAAUAAAUGAAAUUGGGACCCACUGAGACAGAGGAUUCCUGUGGACCUGCCUGAACUGAAGCUUUGGAUUCACUAACUGGAAAUCCUUCUGUUGUCACAUUCUGUUGUUACUUCACUGUAAAUAAACGCACUGAACUUAA